rnacentral:rRNA from 1 species
GAUGAACGCUAGCUACAGGCUUAACACAUGCAAGUCGAGGGGAAACGAUAUUGGAAGCUUGCUUCCGAUAGGCGUCGACCGGCGCACGGGUGAGUAACGCGUAUCCAACCUGCCCACCACUUGGGGAUAACCUUGCGAAAGUAAGACUAAUACCCAAUGAUAUCUCUAGAAGACAUCUGAAGGAGAUUAAAGAUUCAUCGGUGAUGGAUGGGGAUGCGUCUGAUUAGCUUGUUGGCGGGGUAACGGCCCACCAAGGCGACGAUCAGUAGGGGUUCUGAGAGGAAGGUCCCCCACAUUGGAACUGAGACACGGUCCAAACUCCUACGGGAGGAAGCAGUGAGGAAUAUUGGUCAAUGGGCGAGAGCCUGAACCAGCCAAGUGGCGUGCAGGAUGACGGCCCUAUGGGUUGUAAACUGCUUUUAUAAGGGAAUAAAGUGAGUCUCGUGAGACUUUUUGCAUGUACCUUAUGAAUAAGGACCGGCUAAUUCCGUGCCAGCAGCCGCCGUAA